rnacentral:lncRNA from 1 species
CAUGUGCUUGGAGAACUCCCUCGUUAUAGAAACCAGGAGAGGAAAAAAGGGCUCCCCAUGGUGUGUGCUUGCCCUGGCUGUGAGUAGUAAACUCAACCUAUACAGUGUGUUCCUGGUGGCCUCCAGCUGGAGAGCAUUACCACAGAGCUCCCACAGAAAGCUCCAUGACUCAACACAAUUCCUGUUGCAUUUCUGCACACAGCUGCCCACCGCAGGCACUGUUGAAACUCCAAGAUGUGCAGUGGAAGGACUGGCUAAGAAAACCCGACCCUGAUGGAAACGCCUUCCAAUGAGUAGAACUGAUUCACAUUGGAUCACUGGACUUUGGGUUGGGAUGUCCAAAAGAAGGACUGAUUUCAAAGUAAAAUAAAUGUUCCAAGACUAGGUCACAAAGAAAAGCUUCUCAGCCUUGAAGAAGACAAGGCAUAGGCCCGCGUCCCAGGCUCUGAGAGAGAAACGUCUCAUUUCCUUUGCUUGCAAGUCUGUGUGCCAUCUCUCAACUUCUGCCCUUGGGUUAUCUGUCUGUGUAUUUUCUUCACCCUUCUAGAUUGCCAGCUCCCUGAAUGGAGAUCACAUUGUUGCCUUUGCAUUCACCACAAUGUUAGUCCAGUGCCUGCCACUAACCAGGUCUUCCCUGCUUAUUAAUUGACCAACAGACUUUGUAUUGAAAACACACUGAAAAAGCAUUUCAAAAAUAGUUGACUUUCUCUGACGGGAGUUUUGCUAACUGGGAAGGUGAUGUAGGGUAACUUCUCAGCAGGGUGUAAAUUUUGAGUGCUAGGGAAAGAGCAGCAUGAUUGGAAGAGAGGCACAUUUCACUAGGAUACACUCUGUUAUCUUUGUUUUACAUUUAAAUGGGUCUACAUGAAAUUUGGAUGACACAUUAAGGGUAAUUUCCCCAGCGUGAUUUGGAUUGCUGAUUAGAGAAUCAAGGCCUCCUGGAGUAUUCUGUUUGUGUUACUGAUUGGUUAAGGGCUGUUUCCCAAGUGUGGGGUGAGUUCCGUUUUCCCCUGGAGAAUUAAAGAGCAGCACCCUUCAGGCACAGCCAAAGUGAACUCUCUUCAAAAAGUCUAAGCCUGGCCAGGCGUGGUGGCUCAUGCCUGUAAUCUCAGCAUGUUGGGAGUCCGAGGCAGGCAGACCACCUGAGGUUAGGAGUUCGAGACCAGCCUGGCUAACAUGGUGAAACCCCAUCUGUACUGAAAAUACAAAAAUUAGCCAGGUGUGGUGGCGGGUGCCUGUAAUCCCAGCUACUCGGGAGGUUGAGGCAGGAGAAUCACUUGAACCUGGGAAGCAGAGGUUGCAGUGAGCCAAGAUUGCACCACUGCACUCCAGCCCGGGCGACACAGUGAGACUCAGUCUCAAAAAACAACAAAAAAGCCUCUGAGCUGAAGCCCUUUUCUCUUUCUAAUUAUGCAGGAAGCAAAGAAAUGUUACUAUGUGGUGAAGAAUUAACCUUCUUCAAAAUAAGCCCGCCUUUUGUCCUUGGCUUCUGGAACGUAAUCUCUACUGUCUUUCUUAGCCCGAGGGAUGGGGGUCACAGUGGAUUGUCAGUGCAAUUUAAGGUGGGGACUGGCCACUCCCAUGUAGCCAUAGGGUUGGAGCUGAAAGACCAACAAUGUGACUUUGGGUGGAGGCUUUGGGUCACCCAGUAUCGGUGGCCUGGAGACUAAGAUCAACCAUGUGGCCAGUCAAUCAUUUAUGCCCACGAAAUGGAGCUCCAACAAAAACUGAACCCUGAGGCUUAGGUGAGCUCUCUUGGUUGGUGAUUCUCUCUUGGUUGCUGUAUUGUCACACAUGGAUGCCACCGUGUAUCCUUACUUUGUGGGGAAAAGACAACAGGAGCUCUGCAUUUGGAACCCUUCUGGACUCUGCCCUAUGUGUCUCUUUUUGGCUAAGCUUAACCUGUAACCUUUCCUUAUAAUAAACCAUAAAUGUGACUAUAACAGCUUUUGGUGAGUCCCAUGUUUCUAGGGAAUACCAAAUCAAAGAGUGAUUUUGGGAACCCUCUAAAAUUGCAGUUGUCCUGCAUUUAUGGACAGAACCAAUAUACAUCUUACUUGUAUUGAUUAAUGUCCUAUGUCUCCUUGAAAUGUAUAAAACCAAGCUAUAACCCAGCCACUUUGAGCACAUGUUCUCAGGAUCUCCUGAGGGCUGUGUCAUGGGCCAUUGGUCACUUAUAUGUGGCUCAGAAUAAAUCUCUUCAACUAUUUUAUGAAGUUUCACUCUUUUCAUCAAC